UCCUUGUUAGUAUGGUGGUGAGUAUCUCUGCUUGUGAUAUAGGAGACAGGGGUUCAAAUCCCCAAUGGGGAG
rnacentral:tRNA from 1 species